rnacentral:rRNA from 1 species
UACGAAGGGGGCUAGCGUUGUUCGGAAUCACUGGGCGUAAAGGGCGCGUAGGCGGCUUUUCAAGUCGGGGGUGAAAGCCUGUGGCUCAACCACAGAAUUGCCUUCGAUACUGUUAGGCUUGAGACCGGAAGAGGUGAGUGGAACUGCGAGUGUAGAGGUGAAAUUCGUAGAUAUUCGCAAGAACACCAGUGGCGAAGGCGGCUCACUGGUCCGGUUCUGACGCUGAGGCGCGAAAGCGUGGGGAGCGAACAGG